rnacentral:rRNA from 1 species
AAGCGAAAAGACUACCAUAAAGCUUGACUUAGUUAUAAUCAACCAGGGUCGGCCAAUCUCGUGCCAGCCGCCGCGGUUAUACGAGAGACCCGAAACAACAGCAAACGGCGUAAAUUGUGGCUAGAAUUAAGGCUAAAAACUAAGAAAUAAACUACUACCUUACCGUAAAACACAGGUAAAAUGAAAUCUCUUACCCAAAGCGAUUUGAACCCACGAAAUCUAAGAAACAAACUAGGAUUAGAUACCCUACUAUGCUUAGACAUAAAAAGACAUCAAUCAACACAAAUGUCCGCCAGAGAACUACAAGCGAAAAGCUUAAAACUCAAAAGACUUGGCGGUGUCCCAAACCCGACUUAGAGGAGCCUGUCCUAUAAUCGAUAAUCCACGAUAAACCCAACCACCCCUUGCAAAUCAGCCUAUAUACCGCCGUCGCAAACCUACCCCUCAAAGGAACAAUAGUAGGUAUAAUAGUCUAAACCACUAAAACGUCAGGUCAAGGUGUAGCUAAUGAGGUGGAAGAGAUGGGCUACAUUCUUUAUACUAAAGCAAACAAAACGAGUUAUGAAACAAACUCAGAAAGGAGGAUUUAAUAGUAA